rnacentral:rRNA from 1 species
GACUGUGGUGCGAACGGGUGAGUAACGCAGGUCCGCCAUAUUAGAGGGGGAUAACUAUGUGGAAACGAUAGCUAAUACCGCAUAACAGUAUGUAACACAUGUUAGAUGCUUGAAAGAUGCAAUUGCAUCGCUAGUAGAUGGACCUGCGUUGUAUUUACCUAGGCGACGAUACAUAGCCGACCUGAGAGGGUGAUCGGCCACACUGGGACUGAGACACGGCCCAGACUCCUACGGGAGGCAGCAGUAGGGAAUCUUCGGCAAUGGGGGGAACCCUGACCGAGGCAACGCCCGCGUGAGUGAAGAAGGUUUUCCGGAUCGUAAAGCUCCUGUUGUUAAGGAAGAACGAGUGUGAGAAUGGAAAGUUCAUACUGUGACGGUACUUAACCAGAAAGGGACGGCUAACUACGUGCCAGCAGCCGCGGUAAUACGUAGGUCCCGAGCGUUGUCCGGAUUUAUUGGGCGUAAAGCGAGCGCAGGCGGUUAGAAAAGUCUGAAGUGAAAGGCAGUGGCUCAACCAUUGUAGGCUUUGGAAACUGUUUAACUUGAGUGCAGAAGGGGAGAGUGGAAUUCCAUGUGUAGCGGUGAAAUGCGUAGAUAUAUGGAGGAACACCGGUGGCGAAAGCGGCUCUCUGGUCUGUAACUGACGCUGAGGCUCGAAAGCGUGGGGAGCGAACAGGAUUAGAUACCCUGGUAGUCCACGCCGUAAACGAUGAGUGCUAGGUGUUGGGUCCUUUCCGGGACUCAGUGCCGCAGCUAACGCAUUAAGCACUGGUCUUGCAGGAUUAAGUUCGCGCACUCUAAACUCGAGACUGCCGGUUAUGACCUGCACAAGGGCUACACACGUGCU